rnacentral:lncRNA from 1 species
AGGCUGCCAGAUUUCACAGAAUUAAAAUACAUUUUAUACCAACUCUUAAACUAUGUCAUUGGCAUGCAAACCUGAGAACUUAAAAUACAGUGCAUCAAAUCUAAUAAUCCUUGUACUUGCCUAACAAAUGCAAAUCUUCAGAUCCUCUACAAAUGUUUUUCUUUCAGGAAAGAACCCAAUGACCAUAUUGUCAGUGCUGAGGUUUUUACGGGGUCUGUGUCCUGUAGCCCAGAGUGUCAGGGAGGGCAACUGGAUGCGCAACACUCCUCUACAUCCCCAUGUCUCUGGCAGGAUCCUGCUCUUCAUGAGCUGCCAUCUCUCAGCAGUUGGAGGAGUCCAGACCAGGAUUCAAGGCAGUGCUCUCCAGUGUCAUCAUGGGAUGUGAGCCUCUGUCCCAGCGUGGGAAGUGAACUCCUGACCCAGCUUACAAAUAAAAAUGCUUCCCAAAAUAAUCUGGACA